GAUGGUACAGUCUUUCCGUUUUCUAUUACAAUAAAGCAAAGGCGAUCGUUACUCGGACCUUACACAGACCGUUGAACUUGAAACGGUCCCAAGAGUGUAUUGUGAGAAAGAGAUGAAACUAAAACCAACACAAAUGCAGCACCCUGAAGACCACAAAGGAGACCAGUAUUCACUGCAGGAAGUGAAGGAUGUGUCCGAUCUCUCUGAAUCUUUGUGCUGUGAUGGAGACCAGCAGACGUUGCAGACAUCCUUAAAGACAUGUUCAGUACAGCUGGUGCGCUGCAGGAAGAUUCGGGGUCCGAAUACAAAAAUAGUGACACGAGGAAAUCUUCAAGAUUGUGACAGUGGUAAACGCAACAGACCAUCCACUGAUGAUGAAAAUGAUGGAGUCAAGCACCCACUUCACACUACAUUAAAGAUGUGUACAGUAAGACUAGAGGAUUGCAGGAAUAUUCUAAGUAAGCAAACAGCUGGAGCAGAACAAGAAAAUAGUACUUGGACUGAUUAUGAGCACAACAGCAAAGAUUGUAUUUCUUCAAGUAAGUUCACCAUGGUUACAGUAGAGAAGCCUCACCGUUGCUCUCAGAGUGGUAAAUGGUUUUUAUAUUUUUCACACUUGAAAAAGCACCAGAAAGUUCACACCAGAAGAGGGACUCUCCAUCAGUGCUCUGAGUCUGGAAAACAGUUUGUACAUGAUAGAACUUUGCAAGAUCACAAGAUGAUGCACAUUGGAGAGAAGCCUCAUCAGUGCACUGAGUGUGGGAUACAGAUCCCAUGGUUGGGAUCCUUAAACUAUCACAAGAAAAUUAAUGUGGGAGAGAAGACCCAUUACUGCUCUUUAAUCUGUAAAUAAAUUUUACAUUUUUUCAGAUUUUGUGCAGACUGCUUUAAAGACAUGUUCAGUACAGCUGGUGCAUUGCAGGAAGAUUUGGGAUCCGAAUACAAAAAUAGUGACACAAGGAAAUCUUCAUGAUUGUGACAGUGGUAAAUGUAACAGAUCAUCCACUGAUGAUGAAAAUGAUGGAGUCAAGCACCCACUUCACACUACAUUAAAGAUGUGUACAGUAAGACUAGAGGAUUGCAGGAAUAUUCUAAGUAGGCAAACAGCUGGAGGAGAACAAGAAAAUAGUACUUGGACUGAUUAUGAGCACAACAGCAAAGAUUGUAUUUUUUCAAGUAAACGCAGCAGAUUAUCUCCUGAUGAUGAAAAUGAUUGUGUCAAGAACCCACUUCAUCCUACAUUAAAGAUGCGUACAGUGAGACUAGUGACUAGUAAGACACACCAGAAGAGGAAGUGUCAAUCAAUGUUCUGAGUGUGGAAAAGCGUUUGUACAUUAUAGAACUUUGCAAGAUCACAAGAUGAUGCACAUUGGAGAGAAACCUCAUCAGUGCAUUGAGUGUGGAAAACAUUCUCAAAUUUAACGAAACUUAAAAUUCACAAGAGAAUACAUAGUGGAGAGAAGCCUUAUCACUAUGCUCAGUGUGGAAAAUAGUUCACACACUCUUCAAGCUUUAAAUAUACAAGAAUAUACAAUGCAGAAAAAUCUCACAAAUGCAUUCAAUGCAAUAAAACGUUCUCUAGUUCCUCAGAAUUAAAAAUGCACCAGACAGUGUACACUGGACAGAAGCCUUACUGUAUGUGGAAAUACGUUUUCCCAAGGAUCACAUCUCGGAAGUCACCAGAGUGUGACACAAAGGAGUAAGACCUUGUCAGUGCUCUCACUGCAACAAGGCUUUUGAUCAGUCAUCACACCUCACGAUGAAUGAAAGAAUGCAUACUGGAGAAAAGCCUUACUGCUGAUAUACGUGAGGAAAAGUCUUCACAAGUGUAGCCGAGCUCAAACUGCACCUAAGAAUACACACUGGGGAAAAACCUUACCAGUGUUAUGUGUGUAAUGACUUUCAUGCAGGCACACAGCCUCAAGCAGCAUCAGAGAACACAGUGAUAACCUCUUAAGCAGCUACAAACCUUUUAACACUACCAGCGAGUGCACUCUUGAGUACAGUCUUGCUUUUGUUCUUUUGUGUGAGGUUGUUCCCUCAGUCUGAGAAAAGUAUCCUUUAUUGAGUAUAGUCAGAUGCUAUACAUUUUUUGUUAAUUUUGAGUUUUAUUUACUGUUUGAACAAAGAAUCUAGUUGUGACUGUCUUUUCAUGUUCCAUAUCACGGCUGGGUGGAAGGAACUGAUGUAAAAAUACUACAAAUCAACUAGUUUUGAUAGGUGAUAGAUUCCCAAAUUAUAGAUUCAGCAACUGUUGAAAGUAAUUGUAAAUGUAUAGAGAGCGCUGUCAUUUAUUUAAUGCAUUUGUUUUUUUUUGUCUUUUUUGAUUAGUUUUUACAAUGCUUUAUAUAUUUUCCCGUUGUGUACCUUUUGAAAUCUAAUGGAUCUUUAUCCCCUCAAAAAUCCUGUAGGUAUUGUGUGUUGUAACCUGUAGGCUCCUGUAUACUAUUGUCACCUUUGUGUCACGCUACAUUGUUUUGUUGUGCCAUUUUUAAGAAUAUACAGAUGGGGUUCUUUUCCCCAUCUGGGACAUGCUGUGUAGUAUGAAUUUUGUAUUUCAGUUAAUGUUAAAAGGACAGUAGAGAAUACCUUUAAACAUAUUUUGCUACCAUUGUCCUAGGAAUUUGUCCAGGGGAUUAAUAGUAAUUAGCUAGCUUUAUGCUGUGUGAAUACAGUGGUCUUAUACAUCUGUCGCAUGUUACACACUAUGAGAUGCUGAGCACAAAAUGUGAUUUUUUUUUUUUUAAACAAAAAACUAAAUUUUAAUGUAAUUUUGGACCAUCAUUCCCACACUUGCGGAGAAAGAACAUCUGACCAUUCUGGGCAGGGGAAAUGCUGACUGGAAGGACACCAACAAAUCUUAGAAAACUUAGAAAAAAAUUAAAGCUUUUAGUGGAAGGAACAUCUCAGAACCCAGGAGAUUGUACAGUCGUCAUGUCUUGAACAUCACCAACCUUAGUCUUGCAUUUCGGAAAGUUCUUGGCAACCAUCACUUCCUCCGACUUCAGUUCAUUGUGGUAAUGCAGUGCCAGUGCUGAUAAAUGAGGCUGAGACAAGAAGAGAUCUGAGCUGGGACUAUUUGCCUGAAUUCCUGUUAAGUAACUCCUGAUUCACGCUACAAAAAAAAUGCUUUUCAAGUGAAGAGAUCAUUACUAGACAAGACAAGAAAACAGCAGUUUUCUACUUACGCUGAAGAACCAGAUUUCACUGCCUGCUCCACAAGUUGACGUGACAACAAAUCCAUUCACCCAUUCUCUUUCACUCCUGCCUCUGUCCAGAAGAUGGCUCAGGGAUUACUAUCUGUUUUGCCUCACACAUGGCCUUCGUUCUGGCUUGAAGAUCUGCAGGAGAGGCAUCGCUGCAUUUCUGCUUUAGGCAACAUCAAUGCUCUUCUUCUCUAGAUAUCUGUGUAAACCUGCUGUUAAAGAUAAGAGAACCUGGAAAACUACCAACAAAUACAUUGAAGGGAAUUUUCUCAGUUUUGCCUUCAGUUGCACUGUGGUAGGUUUCAAGUUUCAAGUUUGGUUUAUUCGUUACAUACAUAGUCAUACACAGUAUAACUCGUAGUGAAAUGUUGGUGUGUUGAUUGUGGCGAGGCACUCAAUGUCAGCAGGGAAAUUAUCAAGCACUGCAGUAACUGAAUGAAGCUGCCAUGCCCAGUGGGUGUUUGACAACUGCACGAGUUCACUUGGCUCCAAUUCUACCUUCCACAAGCUUAUGGUGGUUCACAAGUCACACUGAAGAAAGAAACUAUAGCAGUGUGCAUAUAUUGCUUCAGGGUACUACUUUUGAAAAUGGGCAUAUAAGAUCCCACGUACACUUUGAGACAACCUAAGGCAUGAAACAAGCAUCAGUAUCCAUACAGGUGAAAAACGACUUAAAUACACAGGAUAACGAAUAGGAAACACCUGGGGCUGAUUACACAUGGGCGGGACAAUGAAGCAGACACAGGUGGAACGUGUGGCUCAGAACCAAAACAAACAGAAGGCACAUGGCUUGACAAGAAACCAAAAGAGCACAUGGCAGGGUAGAGGAGGGGUAACUUUGUGUUAUGAAUAUGUUAGAUACAUUAAUCAGGGGCCUGUCCCUAGUAAUAGACUGCACGUGGUCACUCAUAAAUAAUGGUAUAAACAAUAGAGAAAGAAUUUAUUAUAACCACACAGGAUCCACCCAAUGAUUGUUUAAUAGCACCUGCUGGGACAGAACAGGAUGUAAAUGUGUACAUUUAAAAAGGACAACUAAGGCAGUAAAAGUUAACUGCUGUCUAAUAGAUCAGAGAAUAUGUGGGCUGCUACUGUCACACUCCCAACUACAGCAGAACACCCUGUAGAUCAGCCUCGCUGGUGUGUUAUCACUGGCCUGCAAUCACACCAGUUUAUUAUCAGCAUGGACUUUUUAUAAGCAACUUCUACAAUUUCCUCAGAAGUCAUUUGUGCCAAGUUUCCAAGCCAUGCUCCUGUUGCACAACAAGGAUAUGUAAAAAAACAAAACAAAAAACCCCAUCUUGUUUUCCCCUUUUCACCUUGGGCCAUAUUUGGAGAUUUUUUUUUGCAUUUUGUCUGCUCUAUUUUGUGCUUUUUCGUGUUUUGGUUUCAGUUUCUUCCUCUGCGCUCCUUGUCGUGUUUCAUCUUUCUCCACUCCUAAUUGUCCCCAGGUGUUCCUUGUUUCUCUGCGAUUCCCUUGUCUAUUUAAAAAAUAUGUUUUCUAGUCUGUAAUACUUCUCAUUUGUUUACAUGCUGUACCAUCAUUUACAUGCUAUUUUCUUUAUGUUCCCUUGUGUUGUGCGUCUGGCUUUGUAUUUUAAUUAUGUAUACUGGUUAUGUUUCUUUGUCUAAGCCCUCUGGCUUUUGUCCGCAGACCGUUUGAUGGACUCUGAUUCUGGAUAUGGCUGAAAUAAACAUUACUCCAUUCAGCGGUUGCUUUCUGCCUCCCUCUGCACACGAUACACACCGCACUGGAAGAGAAAUGAGCUCCGAAACACCAAGGCAGAGAUGAAGACCCUACAAGCAAGACUUGAUGCCAGUGAGAAGAACGUGAAGUAACUGCGGAAGGAGAAUGAAACACAGUUAGUGGAGCUGAAAGGAUUAAGAGCCCAGUUAAACCUCACUGACAAGAAAGUAGAGGAUCUGGAAAAAAGACUUAAAGGUAGCAUUCUCAGCUGCACUUGUGCAGUCACAUGAGCAGAAAUUUGGGCCAGUGAGCGCUAGCAUUCCUCUCGUAUACCGACAUGUUUUCACAAACGUCGGCAAUGCAUAUGAUCCAAACACAGGGAAUUUCAGAGCACCUGUGAGAGGCGUUUACCAGUUCAUGAUGCAUAAUCUUGCUUCUGCUAGUGCAGUACACCCUGUAAGUACCCUUUUAAUGAAAAACGGUCAGCAAGUGCUCAUGUCAUAUGGCUUCCAAGUUGGUCCACAUUUUGUGACCUCCUCCAAUGGAGCGUCUCUACAGCUGGAAGCAGGAGAUGUGGUCUGUGUGCAGUUAUGGGAAAACAGCACCGUGUUCGACAGCAUGAAUCACCACAACACUUUCAGUGGUCACCUGCUCUUUACUCUAUAAAUAAUCAGAGGACUGUUGAAAUUAUGUAAUACAAUGUCAUCAUAAGCAUUUAUUAUUAGUUAGUAUAUUUUGCAUUGUUUAUCAGAAGUGUACAUUGAGUUGUUUUUUUAAAUAUCACUAUUAUAGCAUCUGACAAUUUAGUUAUAAAAUUAUUAAUGCUAUUAAUGCUUUACUGGACAUUUCAACAGAGGACUGUUGAAAUUAUGUAAUGCAACAUCAUCAUAAGCAUGUAUUAUUAGUUUGUAUAUUUUUUGCAUUGUUUAUCAGAAGCAUACAUUGAGUUGUUUUUUAAAUAUCACUAUUAUAGCAUCUGGCAAUUUAGCUAUAAAAUUAUUAAUGCUCUACUGGACAUUUAAUUGUAUAUUGUUAACAGCAUAUGGGUCCACCUCAGUAUCUGCUGCUCCACUCAACAGCUAUUGUAGGUGUACAAAGAAAUAUGCCAUUAAUAAA